rnacentral:rRNA from 1 species
AACGUAGGUACCGAGCGUUAUCCGGAUUUACUGGGCGUAAAGCGCGUUCAGGCGGCCAGGCAAGUCGGGCAUGAAAUCUCUCGGCUCAACCGGGAGGGGCUGUCCGAUACUGCCGGGCUUGAGGGCAGUAGAGGGUGGUGGAAUUCCGGGUGUAGUGGUGAAAUGCGUAGAGAUCCGGAGGAACACCAGUGGCGAAGGCGGCCACCUGGACUGUACCUGACGCUGCAACGCGAAAGCUAGAGGAGCGAACGGGAUUAGAACCGUACCCGUCCGUAGU